GAUAAACGCUGGCUGCGUUCUUAACACAUGCAAGUCGAACGAAGUUUUUCCUUCGGGAGAAACUUAGUGGCGGACGGGUGAGUAACGCGUGGGUAACCUGCCCUGUACAGGGGGACAACAGCUGUAAACGGCUGCUAAUACCGCAUAAGCCCUUAGCACUGCAUGGUGCAUAUUGAAAAGGAGCAAUCCGGUACAGGAUGUACCCGCGUCUGAUUAGCCAGUUGGCAGGGUAACGGCCUACCAAAGCGACGAUCGGUAGCCGAUCUGAGAGGAUGUACGGCCACAUUGGGACUGAGACACGACCCAGACUCCUACGGGAGGCAGAAGUGGGGAAUAUUGCACAAUGGAGGAAACUCUGAUGCAGCGACGCCGCGUGAGUGAAGAAGUAUUUCGGUAUGUAAAGCUCUAUCAGAAGGGAAGAAAAUGACGGUACCUGACUAAGAAGCACCGGCUAAAUACGUG
rnacentral:rRNA from 1 species